UGAGGAAUAUUGGUUAAUGGAGGCAACUCUGAACCAGCCAAGUCGCGUGAAGGAUGAAGGUCUUAUGGAUUGUAAACUUCUUUUGCAAGGGAAUAAAGUGGGGGACGUGUCCUCCUUUGCAUGUACCUUGCGAAUAAGGAUCGGCUAACUCCGUGCCAGCAGCCGCGGUAAUACGGAGGAUCCGAGCGUUAUCCGGAUUUAUUGGGUUUAAAGGGUGCGCAGGCGGGAUGUUAAGUCGGCGGUGAAAUUUUGCAGCUCAACUGUAAAAGUGCCUUCGAUACUGGCUUUCUUGAGUGUGGAUGAAGUAGGCGGAAUUUGUGGUGUAGCGGUGAAAUGCUUAGAUAUCACGAGGAACUCCGAUUGCGCAGGCAGCUUACUAAACCACUACUGACGCUCAUGCACGAAGGCGUGGGGAUCAAACAGGAUUAGAUACCCUGGUAGUCCACGCAGUAAACGAUGAUUACUAGUUGUUUGCGAUACAAUGUAAGCGACUGAGCGAAAGCGUUAAGUAAUCCACCUGGGGAGUACGUUCGCAAGAAUGAAACUCAAAUGAAUUGACGG
rnacentral:rRNA from 1 species